CCUUACUGCUCAGUAACACGUGGAUAACCUGCCCUUGGGUCCGGCAUAACCCCGGGAAACUGGGGAUAAUUCCGGAUAACGCAUAUAUGCUGGAAUGCUUUAUGCGUCAAAUGGAUUCGUCUGCCCAAGGAUGGGUCUGCGGCCUAUCAGGUAGUAGUGGGUGUAAUGUACCUACUAGCCAACAACGGGUACGGGUUGUGAGAGCAAGAGCCCGGAGAUGGAUUCUGAGACAUGAAUCCAGGCCCUACGGGGCGCAGCAGGCGCGAAAACUUUACAAUGCGGGAAACCGUGAUAAGGGGACACCGAGUGCUAGCAUCAUAUGCUGGCUGUCCAGGUGUGUAAACUACACCUGUUAGCAAGGGCCGGGCAAGACCGGUGCCAGCCGCCGCGGUAACACCGGCGGCCCGAGUGGUGAUCGUGAUUAUUGGGUCUAAAGGGUCCGUAGCCGGUUUGGUCAGUCCUCCGGGAAAUCUGAUAGCUCAACUAUUAGGCUUUCGGGGGAUACUGCCAGACUUGGAACCGGGAGAGGUAAGAGGUACUACAGGGGUAGGAGUGAAAUCUUGUAAUCCCUGUGGGACCACCUGUGGCAAAGGCGUCUUACCAGAACGGGUUCGACGGUGAGGGACGAAAGCUGGGGGCACGAACCGGAUUAGAUACCCGGGUAGUCCCAGCCGUAAACGAUGCUCGCUAGGUGUCAGGCAUGGCGCGACCGUGUCUGGUGCCGCAGGGAAGCCGUGAAGCGAGCCACCUGGGAAGUACGGCCGCAAGGCUGAAACUUAAAGGAAUUGGCGGGGGAGCAC
rnacentral:rRNA from 1 species